rnacentral:rRNA from 1 species
GGUUAAGUGACUAAGCGUACACGGUGGAUGCCUAGGCAGUCAGAGGCGAUGAAGGGCGUGCUAAUCUGCGAAAAGCGUCGGUAAGGUGAUAUGAACCGUUAUAACCGGCGAUACCCGAAUGGGGAAACCCAGUGUGUUUCGACACACUAUCAUGUCAUGAAUACAUAGUGGCAUGAGGCGAACCGGGGGAACUGAAACAUCUAAGUACCCCGAGGAAAAGAAAUCAACCGAGAUUCCCCCAGUAGCGGCGAGCGAACGGGGAGGAGCCCAGAACCUGAAUCGGCUUGUGUGUUAGUGGAAGCGUCUGGAAAGUCGCGCAG